CGAGCUGCAGAAGAGGAAAAAGUUGGCUGAAAGGGGGGAAAAUUAGGGUUCUUAUUCUCAAAAUUCAACCACUCGUUCUCACACUCUCUUCUCUUCACUCCCCAUAGCCGUUGCUCGCCACCCAUUCGCUGUCGCUGCUAGUUACCCGUUUGCCGCUGGUCGCGACAGCGCCGUUCGCCAAAAGAAAAAACAAAUGUAGAUCAUGUGAGGAUACAAAUCAUAAUUCGGCAACAUGCAAAAAGAGGAGAUUUGAUAACAGGGAUACAAGUACUGAAUCUGUAGCUACACCUGUGGAGGCAAGCCAAAGUCAGCAACCUUAUGCACCACAAUUCAGCAGCCAGCCUACUUAAGCAUAUGCCUCAAAUGAGUCUGCACAAAAUAGGGCCACUAGAUAGAAGCUUCCGAUAAGAAUGCCCCGAAAAAUAAGCAAACAAAGACAACAAGGUCAACUAGGAUUGCUUCAGUCAAGAUCAAUCAAUUUACAUCAAACUUACACACUUUGGUAAUUGUAAGAGGUCUAUCGAACUUAAAUGCCUCUUUCUCAAAUACAACAACAGGGAAUACUUCAAGGCUUGCUUCUGAAUUGCCUCCUAGAGUUGCAAAAAGUACUUCAAGGGUGCCUUCAAACUCAU